AAGCUACUGUGGACCUAUAUGCCAUGCCUUUUAAUAAAAUUACCAGAGGAGUUAGCUGAAAAGCAGGUCCACAGUAGCUUAUUAUUAUUAUUAUUAUUAUUAUUAUUAUUAUUAUUAUUGGGUCUUAUAAGAGUGGGCUACAAUGUACCAGGCCAUCAAAUCACAGCAUCCGCGGGGAGAGGACACGGAAUUGUGUGCGCUUUUACGCACGCGGGUGUAGGUGAUCACGGAUAUUUGAUGUGGGAAAGAUGUAGCCAGAUGUAUUACCUGUUUUAGAUACGUGGCUGUCUGUCCGUCCAUUCGUCCGUAGCACGAGUCAUGUGCGCCACUUCACCACCGACCCGUGCGUAAAAGCGCAAACAGUCCCUCAGGAGGGACAGCCCUGCAGGCAGGGAGAGAGCAGCCCUCGCGAGCUUCUUUCUUCCUGAAUGAGGAAAUAAUCGCCCCGGCAUUUAAUCGGACCCAGCGUUUAAUACGCAAAAUGGGGUCAAACCCCCAGCGGCUAUUAGGUGCCUGGUGGCUAUUUGCCGCUGGGCGACUAUUUGGAAAUAUAUUGUAUGUGACAAUAAUCAUAUGUGUAUAAUAACAGUAGAAGUGUGACUAAUGAUAACAGCAGCAGUAGGAGGCAUCUAGCAGGACCACGGCAGCUCUUAUAGGCUGAAAUCAAGACGAUCACAUUAACCAGUGCGUAAUCAUCAGACUUGACAAUUAUCAUGGGAAAACAAUCUUUGUUAUGUCAAGAUAACGAGAUAAUUAAUUCUUUAUCACGAGAAAACAAUCUCUGUUAUGUCGAGAUAACGAAAUAAUUAAUUUGUUAUCAUGAGAUAAUCUUUGUUAUAUCAAGAUAAUGAAAUAAUAAGUCGUUAUCACGAGAUAACAAUGCACAAAAAAAAAAGAAAUACGUGGCUGUUCUCCUCUUCCGUACUCACCUGAUCCUGGAAAAUUUCCAUUCACCUGCACCCUGCAAGUCAGCACACACCCUCUUUGCCAGAUUGUUCUUCAAACUCCAUGCAAGACAUUCCAGCACUCACCCUUGGUUUGCCUCUCCGGCACUUACCCUGCCUGUUCCUGACCUGCCUCCAUCAUCUCUGCCCUGGUAGUCACCUCAGCCUUCUGUCUGCGACUCUGAUUCCUGUCUGCCACCUUCCUGAUUCCCGUCUGCUUGGCUCUGGCUGCAUGGUGCAACACCAGUCCUGCAUCCCUCAGUUCUCCAAGUUCUGCUAGCUACUCUGAAUUCACCUCACUACCAGCCUCAGGAGAGACCCCCCUGCACUACGGUACAGUCCACAACUCUCAUACCGCUUUCAAGUAUUCCCUGCCUGCUCUUGCCACAUUCACUCACCGCUGGAACUUCAAUCAAGUUAAACUUAAAGACCCCUGAUGUUUGGAGAGAAAGUUGCUGGGAGAUUUUUGGCAAAAUGGCCCACUUACUUCAAACCUCGGGUCCUGGCAGGGUACAAAAACCUAAAAUAUUGAAGACCUUGUCUGCGCAGCCAAAAAUCUGAUUAUUCUAUUUGCCCCUAGGCUGGGACAGUGACCUGUCAAGCAUUCCACUGAUGGUUCACCUACUUCCCUGUACCUCAAAAGGCCACAAGAAGAUUGCUAAAAUCAGCUCAUAUGAAGCAGUCAGUCAUGUUGUGAGAUAUCUAAGGAUUGGGGCCAGUGUUGACACCUUCCUUUGAAGUUUGGAUCCUGAACAGCCCUUCCUCCUGUGUGUUGGUGAACAAAGGGACAAGAUCUAGAAGUUCUAGUUAACUACAAGGCCAUCCCUUGUGAGGCGCAGACAUCCCUGACAGCCUUUGACAAGCUCCUCAAGGCACAUCAGUGUGAACUACCAUGUAUCCCUCAACAGCUCCUACACACACGUUUAUCCAAAUGACAGUAUUCAACAUGGACAUGGGAAGUGCCAAGAAAAGUCUCAGAGUCAAGAAGCUCAGAGCAAGGCUGUCGCACACUUGAUACUUGAGGUGAUACAUAUACACAAUACAUAUACAUACGUUACGUUUGAAAUGUGGACAACAAGGAUUCAUCAUCAUUUUGCACUUCUUCAGGGUUCAAGAAACACCAUAUUCAUUUACACAGGGACACUGUUUCAGCAAAUACUGUUGAUGAUGUGGGCACUCAAGAAUAUGAUCAGCCUUCAACUUCACAAGCAGUCUGUAGAGACACUCCAGUGAUCGCCCAGGCUUCUGUUGACAAGCAUAAUUUGUUGAACAUGUGUUGUUCUGUUGUUGCACAGUUACAAGCACCAGGUGUUGCUGAGAGCACAGUACAAGCAAUGGUAGAAUCAAUGGAAGAGCUUGUAAAUGUUAUUCACACACAAGCAAGAGAGGCGGUUCUCUCAGAGAUCUCAGGAAAUUGAGAUACAGAUUUGGAAAAUAAGGUAGAAAUUUGUUUUGACAAUCUAGAAAAUCCCUCUCAGUCUUGAACACAAAAGCAAAGUGUCAAAAGUUCUUUGAGGGAAAAGUGAGAAAUAGAUACCCCUGUAGAAUACAUUCUAGGGGUAAGAUUUUAUGUAAGCAGAGAUCAAACAGCAGGUGUUUAUAAUCAGAUUCCUGUAACAGAUAAAUUUGUGUAUGUACCCAUCUCGGGAACCCUGAAGUCAAUGUUCAAGAACAGUGAGAGUUUCUUGCAGGCCAAACAACAUAAAAAAGGUAUUUUAUGAAGAUAUGUGAUGAUAGGUGAUAGGUGAUAAUCUAGGUUUACAUGGACUAUUUGGUUAUGUUGAGUCUUUCAAUGCAACGUAUUGUUGUAGAUUUUGUUUAACCACAAAGGAAGAGUCUCAGUCUGUCCUCACUGAAGACAACCCUGGCUUUAUUUUUCGUACAAAAUAAAUCCAUACAGAACAUUGUGCAGCACUAAAAGAAGAUCCUAUGUUGCCAUCAGCAUCUGCUGUAAAAAAGACAUGCUUUCUCAAUACAUUAAAUUUUUUUCCACUCCUCCAAUAACUACGCAGUUGACACUAUGCAUGAUUUGCUUGAAGAUAGUGCAGUAUGAAUUGAAACUUGUCUUUCAACACCUUGUCAAUAGUAGGAGUAUCUAUCCUUGGAAACAUUGUCACAGGGGAUCCAAAGACCAAGUGGGUUUAAAAUGGAUGAGGGCAUCAAAGAUCUUCGAUUAAAUUCUAUCCAGUCAUGGUGUCUGCUCCCCCUAUUUUUGAUGAUGUAGCUGAGAGAAAUAACUGUUAUUGGAACCCGCUCCUCCUCUUGAUUCAGAUAGUAAAUAUUGUAUUUUUGCCAGUUGUCAUUAAUGGUAAGAAAUAUUAUUUGAAGAAUUUGAUAAAUGAUCACCACAAGCUGUUCAAAUCGUUGUUUCCUGAGAGAAGAUUUAUUCCAAAGCAUCAUUUUAUGAUACAUUACCCAAGGUGUAUUUGUAAAAUAGGUCCGGUUUGAGGCCAAACAUAAUUUUUAGGAGAUCUGUUAAGAAUUUGAAAAAUAUUUCAAAAACAUUAGUAAAAUAACACAAGAGACAGUUAGUUUAUCACUGGGAAAAAAAAUAUUUUCAGAGGUUUGAGUUUUGUCCAGUGAGGAAGGAAACUGUUGAUUGGUUGGAGGGUAGUGAGACUUUAAGUUCAGUGUUAAAUGUGAAUGCAUACUCUGAUGUGUCAACUAAUUGGGUAAAGAAUUAUGGAACUGAGUAUCAAAUUGAUGAGUUUGUAUCAGGACAAAUAUGAAAAUUCCUGUUUUCGGAAGGGACAAUAACAUCAUAAUAAAUGAAGGUCAGGCUUUUAUUUUGACUUGUGGUGUUGAGACACUUUAUUUUGAUGAGCAUUUUAAUGCUUACUGUGUCGAGGAGAGAGCUGAUUCAUAUUGUCAUUUCUAUUGAGGAGCUGAUUUGUUACAGUCAAUGUGACAAAUAGUUUUCCCAUGAGAAGGAUGGAAAAACAUACAUAUUGCCACAUUGCCAUAUUGUGUGACCUGUGCUGUUUCAAGACUGAUUGUCCAUUGUUAUUGUAAAGCAAAUGCUUUGGUGUA